AUUGAACGCUGGCGGCAUGCCUUACACAUGCAAGUCGAACGGUAACAGGUCUUCGGAUGCUGACGAGUGGCGCACGGGUGAGUAAUACAUCGGAACGUGCCCGAUCGUGGGGGAUAACGAGGCGAAAGCUUUGCUAAUACCGCAUACGAUCUACGGAUGAAAGCGGGGGAUCUUCGGACCUCGCGCGGACGGAGCGGCCGAUGGCAGAUUAGGUAGUUGGUGGGAUAAAAGCUUACCAAGCCGACGAUCUGUAGCUGGUCUGAGAGGAUGAUCAGCCACACUGGGACUGAGACACGGCCCAGACUCCUACGGGAGGCAGCAGUGGGGAAUUUUGGACAAUGGGCGAAAGCCUGAUCCAGCCAUGCCGCGUGCAGGAUGAAGGCCUUCGGGUUGUAAACUGCUUUUGUACGGAACGAAAAGCCUCUUUCUAAUAAAGAGGGGUCAUGACGGUACCGUAAGAAUAAGCACCGUCUAACUACGUG
rnacentral:rRNA from 1 species